GGGUCGUUUCCUUUUCACGGGUUUAGGCGGAGCAAACAAAGAACAGAGGUUUCCCAUUGUUUGAACAUCAAGAAGAAGAGUGUGAAAACUAAAAAGGUUUGAGCUUUAUGGAGAUUUAGAGAGAGAGAAGGAGAAAAGGUUUGAGCUUUAUGGAGUUUUAGAGAUAGAGAAUGAGGAAAGGUUGGAGCUUUAUGGAGUUUUAGAGAGAGAGAGAGAGAAAAGGUUUGAGCUUUAGAGAGAGAAUGAGAAAAGGUUUGAGCUUUAUGGAGUUUAAGAGAGAGAGAGAGAGCGAGAGAGAGUGACGUGGGG
rnacentral:lncRNA from 1 species